rnacentral:lncRNA from 1 species
UCACAUGGCUAGAGAUCAGGUAAAAGAGACUUCACACAUAAAAAUAACUUUGGUCAAGGUAAGCACCACUCGAUAAGAGUUAUGCUCUUACAUAUAAUUUCUAUUCUCCAUACAAACUUGUUUUCAUAGCUUCACUUGAGCCUUUUUCAAUUACUAUCUCAUAUAAAAAGUAAUCAUUUUAUCGAGGAAUUUUACAUGGAUGUGAAAAAUAAAAUCUAACUUAUAGAGUUCUAUGGGCUAUGUCGUACGCCAUCAAGUGAAUCAAGGGGUAUUUAGAAUUGUAGUUUAUACUGACAAAGGCCUUCCUAUAUUGUCAU